GAUGAAGAACUUAGCGAAAUGCGAUAAGUAAUGUGAAUUGCAGAAUUCAGUGAAUCAUCGAAUCUUUGAACGCACAUUGCGCCCGCCAGUAUUCUGGCGGGCAUGCCUGUUCGAGCGUCAUUUCAACCCUCAGGGCCCUUUUGGACCUGGCGUUGGGGCUCGGCCGCUACCCUGCGGCCGUCCCCGAAAGAUAGUGGCGGUCUCGCUGUAGCCUCCUCUGCGUAGUAGUUACAUCUCGCACUGGAACGCGGCGCGGCCAUGCCGUUAAACACCCCACUUCUCAAGGUUGACCUCGGAUCAGGUAGGAAUACCCGCUGAACUUAAGCAUAUCAAUAAGCGGAGGA
rnacentral:misc_RNA from 1 species